GCUGGGCAUGGUGGCGCGUGCCUGUAAUCCCAGCUACUCAGGAGGCUGAGGCAGGAGAAUUGCCUGAACCCAGGAGGCAGAGGUUGCAGUGAGCCAAGAUCGUGCCAUUGCACUCCAGCCUGGGUAACAAGGGCAAAACUCUGUCUCAA
ensembl:misc_RNA Metazoa_SRP Metazoan signal recognition particle RNA